CCAGUUGCCCAACACCUUUGUGUUCUACAGUCAGACAUCUCUGGUUACAAGUCGGCGUUAGAUGCAGAUUAUGCACGUUACAACUUGGAUUUGACCACGAUACCUGAUAACCGCGGAUGGGGAUGACUCUGUAUUUCUGUCUCAUAGUUAUAGUGACUGUGCUCUGCACUUCUGAAAGCGAUGCUGUCCAUCAGCUUGGUGGAGAAUAUGCGAGCCACAAUCCGGACUGGCACCAUUCGUUUGGGGCUACGCGGGACUCUCACACCACAAAUGCCACGGAUGUAACUUACGAUCUCUUCUCGUGUGCUGUGACUGUAAUCUUCUAUGGGAGCAACCUCGUUCCGGUUAAGAGAAUUGGGAGUGGAGAUGUCAAUGCCACUGGAAUGCCAAUAGUGACAACAGGCAGUCUGAGCCUGGGACUCCUCUUGUGGGCCUCCUUCAACAUGCUUAUAGGCUGGGCCAGCACCAGGUGUGUCUGUGUGUACCAGCCCGUCUGCCCACUUAGAUACUGUCUUGCCCACUGCCUGGCUGUCCGUCUGUAAAGGCUGCUAAAACACCGAAGACAUUUUGCCAGUGUCAAUGGAGACGGGAGCUUCCUUCAGCAGGCUAGGCUCUAUUCCUGAUUAGUAACAUAGAUUCUCCCACUAGCAAAAUUAGAUGUAGAUGUGUUAAGGAACAGCAGGCUUUUCAUGUCAUGAUAUAUCUAGAUUCUUCAGUCUAGCAUAAUUAGAGUGGUUUAUGUUUCCCCAAUUACAAGAGGGAUGUAAAAUAUCUUAAAUAUACUGAAUGCAAUAUUUAUUCAAUUUGUAAAUUGUUUCCUCAGUUAAAUUAUAUGUGGAAUGGUUGUUCUAUUUUUCCACAUUAUGACACAAAUAAUUACUGCUUCGUUAAAGUUAUAGGUGACCAACUUUUUUUUUUUUCAAAUGAGGGAAACCCCCAAUGGUGAAUGUUAUGCUCUUUGUAUGUUCUUUUCAAAAAAAAAAAUAAGGUUCCACUGAACUGAUGUGUAGAUUCCAAUUUCACAAAUAUGUUUUCUCCAAUGUA